AUAAUAAAGAGGUUGAGAAUAAGUGCACUCAUUAUUUUGAGUUAAAAAUCCAAAAUCUCCUGCAAACACUCACUGGAGUAGUUCGGAUCUGUUUUCAGAAAUAGAUACUUGAAGCUCAAAAGUGAGAUCGGAGAUGCUUGACGGUAUACUAACCCGUGGUUUCAGCUCCAAAUGCAAAUCGCUAGUAAAGGCUACAAGGACGAGAAUCGAGGUGGUGAGACGGAGAGCUGAGUCGAAACAGAGGUUUUUG
rnacentral:misc_RNA from 1 species